rnacentral:lncRNA from 1 species
UAAUAUUAUAUUUAAUAUAUUAUACUAUGUUUUUUCUUUAUUUGAAAAAAAAAAUAAUAAUGAACUAUUCAAUGAGUACUAUUUGUUUUUUUUACGUCAGCAUUUUUGGGAUUAGUUUGGUGUAGGGUAGUUUGGAAUUGAAGGGAAAAGGUGAGUAGAUAAGUUUGAGUGGGACCCACGAUUAUGAUAAUGAGAAAAGCAAGUGUUACUGUGUAGAUGAAUAAAACUCNUAUGUGUUAAUUUUGGUUGUCCGCUAUAGUUUAGAAAGUUAGCUAUUGUGGUUGGUAUUUAAAUUAAGGAUAACAUACUUCUUAUAUUGAACUUAUAUUANUUAAAGGUAUGUAUAGAUUCAUGUGUUCUAUGAGUUGAUGUGGGCUGUUUGGGUUNCUUGGUUCUUGGUAUCGAUUAACUUAGAUUCAAUUGUGGGAAUGUUAUUUUUAUAACUUGUGAUUGGUGAGUAAUGCAUAUUGUUGAGAUUAUGUAUAUGUUGAUUGUGAUACAAAGUAUAUGAUUACAAAGUGAUGAAAGUACGAUNUGAGUAGUAAACCAAGUUCCAUAAGUUCAAGAUCUCUCGGUGAGAUCUUUAGUGUUUUAAAAUGGAAGUAGGGGCUCAGCCUUGGGAGUCAUUCUGACGCUUCAAUGGUCAAUCAAACUCACUUAGAGAGGUUGAACCAUGUGGUGAGAAGUAGCAGGAGGUCCUUAGUCUUGGGGGCUCCCAGUAUGNCUCAAGGCGCGGAACGGACUAACCUCGUGAGUGUGGCAGGGUGGGGAACCCAAGUUUCAUAAGUCACCACGGGUGCAAGACUCGCCAUAGCCCGACUCUCAUUUUAAAGUCCGGACGAGUCAAGUCUAGAAUCUCACAUGUUUAGGUUGUUNGCUAUAAAAUGUGGUUGCUAUCCAUGUACUCUCUUAUGAUUAAAAUGUUUAACCUGUUGUAUGAUGUUUAUUUAUAUAAUUAGCUCACCCUUGCAAUUGUUUGUCUAUUGUGUUGCCAUGUUGUGUGUGNUGCCCUGUUGCGAUGAUCAUCCAUUUUGGAUGUGAGCAGAGGAGAAUGAGGUCACUCUNGAGCGUGCCUUGGAAGGAAAUGAAGAAGAUACUGCUGCUUAGACUCUCUAGGACCUUCUUAGUUCUUUUAUAUUGUUCUUUUGAAACACUUUCAGUUUAAUCUAUGCUCCGAUACAAUCCAGCACCUUAAGUUUUAAUUGUUUUGCCAAAUUCUGGAUAACUGUAAUCCUUAUUUAAGGACCUUAAGCACUCUCUGACUGCUUUCUAGUAUUAUAUGUGAUGACGUCUUAUUAUG